rnacentral:rRNA from 1 species
UACGGAGGGUGCAAGCGUUUAUCCGGAUUCACUGGGUUUAAAGGGCGCGCAGGCGGCCAUUCAAGUCAGGCGUGAAAGCCCCGGGCUUAACCUGGGAGGUGCGCUUGGGACUGGGUGGCUAGAGAUCGGGAGAGGAGAGUGGAAUUCCCAGUGUAGAGGUGAAAUUCGUAGAUAUUGGGAAGAACACCGGUGGCGAAGGCGGCUCUCUGGACCGAUACUGACGCUGAGGCGCGAAAAGCGUGGGGGAGCAAACAGG